rnacentral:lncRNA from 1 species
GUGUAGCAAUUGCUGCUCAAAGCAAUUGACUCAAGGCAAUCAAAUGUGGAUGAUGGAGGAGGUUCAUGAAGCUCUAAACAUCACUCAGAUGAAAAUUCACAGACGCAUCACCUCUGGGAUCUUGAAAUAGCAUGCUGAGAGGCAAAGGCAUUAACUUCAAUGGGGA